CCUACGGGAGGCAGCAGUGGGGAAUUUUGCGCAAUGGGGGAAACCCUGACGCAGCAACGCCGCGUGAGUGAUGAAGGCCUUCGGGUCGUAAAGCUCUGUCAGAGGGGAAGAAAUGGAAUCGGCUAAUAUCCGGUUUUCUUGACGGUACCCUCAAAGGAAGCACCGGCUAACUCCGUGCCAGCAGCCGCGGUAAU
rnacentral:rRNA from 1 species